GCCACACCAUGGCUUUUUUGGCUUUUUUUCUUCUCCCUCAAGGACCUCUGCUUUGGUGAAUUCUUGCCAAAAUGAACCUCAGAGACAUACAUCUAAGGACCUUGCGUGCACCAAAGAGGGUGGGUGGAGGGGGCAGAGCUUCCUGGGGGUCCACUCUAGGGCCUGCAGGAGGCCUGACCUUGGGCAGACAGCCCUAGCCUCAGCUCUUCUUAUAGCUCCCCUGCUCUUUCCUCUUCUUGAACUGCUGGGUGCCAGCAUCAGUUCAGCUCUUUCCCCCCACCCUCUGCUCAAGGCCUAGGAGGACAGCAGCUGUCCCUACUUGCUGCACUGUGGGGAGGCGCCUGUGCUCACUGCUCUGCUGUUGAAGAGCUCAGUGAAGCAUAUGAUGUGACUGUGGAUAUCCAACUGCUUUAGCUGACAUCUUGGAAGGAAAGCAGGAGAGAGACCUGGGCCCUGACCUUCCUUCGUCACCAUCAGCUUGUGACAUCUUCUCAGGCCAGCCCUAGCCAACUCUGUGACUGUUUCCACAGGUGUCGAUGUUGGCAUCAUGUCUAACUUCUGCUGCUUCCCAAGGUCGCCAUGAUCAUCUCAUUAGUGAGCAGAUGUAAAGUAUUUGUAAAAAGGCAUCAUACAAAAACAAAGUUCAUUGUUAUUCAUCCUUUUCCUUCCCAAAUACACUAGACUUCUUUAAAACAUUAAAGCAAAGUGAGGCCAAGCUGUUUACUUGUUUAACCUAAUAUGAAGGGCCACUGCAAAGCCUGAGGCUCAAAGGUAAGAUUCACAGCCAGGUGCAGUGCCUCCCGCCUGUAAUCCCAGCACUUUGGGAGGCCAAGGCAGGAGGAUUACUUGAGGCCAGGAGUUCGAGACUAGCCUGGGCAACAUAGUGAGACCCUGUCUCUACAAAAAUAAAAAAAAUUAGCCAGGCAUGGUGGUGAGCGCCUGUAGUUUCCAGCUACUCAGGAGGCAGAGGUGGGAGGAUCACUUGAGCCCAAGAAUUUAAGGUUGCAGUGAGCCAUGAUUGCACCACUGCAUUCUAGCCUGGUGACAGAGUGAGACCUCAUCUCAAAAAAGGUAGGAUUCACAACAUGUUUUGAAAUCCUACAGAGUUCCUGAAGACACACACACACACACACACACACACACACACACACACACACUAGAUGUGAUAUGUGGUUAAUGGAAAAAUAGCAUCAGAGACACCGCAUUCAUUAACAGAAAUGAAUUUCGUUUGGCAUUUUCUUCUUUGGUCUUCUUGAUAUCUAUCUUAUAGCUACAUGCAGCACCUGUGGGCUGAUAAAUAAUGUAGUCAAAGAAUUCUGCAAAUCCAGAAAGGUCACUGUUUAUACAUCAUCUGUCUGUCAAGUAAAAUUCUUGGUUCAAAGCAAAAAAGCAAGUUUAUUUUGGGAAUUGGUAACUUGGAAUAACAGCUGCAAAAAGAAAUGAGAAAUAAAGACCCAUCACUUAAUUCUUUUUCUAAAUAUUCAUCUGAAGCCAAAUUUCAUCAAAUUUGAUUGGUUUUAAGGAGAAAAAUCUUGCCAGAUGGAAACAUGAAGAUUGGAAAAGCAACAGAACUUGGAUUUCAGAACUGUGGGGGAUUUAUAGAAGCAUUUGUUAACAACUGAGGAUAUGCACAGCCUGGGUGGGUGUCAGCUCAACUGUGUGACCUGGUGUCCCCAGCCCAGCCAUCCUUGUCUGCACAGCUGAGGAGGUUAAUGAUGAUGGAGAGACUUAGGGGUACUCCCCGCACUCUCUCCUGAGAUCCCAGAGCAAUCCUGAUUGUGGCCGUAAAUAUUUAUGUAGAACCAUCGCUUCUCGCCUCCAAGCUGGGAAUGACUUCGCAUUGAACUUCAGCCCUGCCUGCCCCAGAUUGACCGUGGCUUCCUGAAUCUUACAUUGCAGCAGCUCCUUCCUGCCCACUUUCUCCCUGUGCUAUCAGGGUGACCUGCAGCAAAUGUUCUCACACAGAAUCCUCAAACAACCUCCAGCACAAGGCAGGUGAUACCCUCGUUCUCCCAUGGGGAAACUCCAGCCUAGAGGUCAGGGGACUUGACAAAAGCACACAUGAAUGGUAGAGCCAAGCCUGCCUGUCUGCAAAUUCCUACUUUUGGUCUCUCUGCUGCCCUUUCAGCCCUGCCCCCAGGCUUCAGUUUGGGAGGCCCCUCAUCUGCACCUCACCCCCAGUGCCUCUGUCCUCACCUGUGCAGUGCUGGUUUGCAGGUUAACACCUGCAGGCUCCUCUGGGGCACAUUACUCUUGCUUGCUGUGUUCUGUGGCCACCACACUACCUUGGUUCUGGGGCUUGGCCGUUUUGAGGGUAGAAUCUCUGAAUGUCAGGGAAUUCAGUCUUGAAAAAUUUCCGCUUUGCUGGUAAAAGGAACGCCUCCAUUCUUUUCUCAGCUCAAGCAAACGUAGAUCACUGUCAGGGAACACAGUAUCAGCAAUUUCCCCUUCUCUUCAGAGCAUGGGACUGGACUGGAGAUCCCAUCUUUGGCUUCAAUAUUAAUAUCCAGGGAGUUACCACUUCCUUUCUAAACAAGGGAUGCUGCCUUUGGAGGAUGGUGCCCUGAUCUUGGAAGAGCCAGGUUACCCACGUUUACAGGGACUCUGUCAAAUGAAAAGGUGAAGACCUCAGGCACAGAAAAGCUCCUGCUCCAGGCUACACUGAUCUUUCCUAACCUCCUCAAACACAGCAGUCCUGGAGGGAAGCUAAGCAAAGACAGGCCUGCCUCAUAGUUUUUUUCAAACCCAUUCGUUUGAUUUGGUUUUGAUUAGAGUAGGCUAGUCAACAAUGAGCAAAGCCUUUCACAAAAGCCAAAAACAUACGGAAAUUCCAAAUUGGUGUUUAAAAUUCAAAAUUUGGCCCAAGAAUCUUACUCUACAAGAAAGAAAUCUGCAUUUGUAUAUUCUUUCUCAGUUACUCGAGAACAGACUUCCGUAUAUUCUAAUCAAAGGCCUUGGGUCCCAGAGGCUGUGUUGGUCUGGUUCCUGACAGCCCUUGAAUUCCAGCUUCUAAUCUUUUGCAGAUCUCACUAUGUGCAGACUAAACUAGAGAUGUCUUCAAAGGCAGCUCUCUAGACUUGUAUGUGCUGGCUGUUUUCUGGGCUCAAGUUCAUGCCAUGAUUGUCUGACCCAUCUUCCCUGGAGAGGCAGAUUUCUUCCAUUCCAGUCUUUAAUCAUUAUCUGUGUUAGGCUUGACCAACCUUUCUGAAGGACAAUUGAUUUUAAAUAGUAGUCACAGGCUUAAGUAUAGUCUACAAAGCAGAUUUUUAUUACACUGUAGUGAAAGGGCACACAUAAAAGUGCAUGUGAAUCACAGAAGGCAGGCGAGAGAAGGGGGUCAGCUCAGGACAGGAAGAGAAUAAAUUUGUCCACAAAUUACAUAAUCCACAAAUUACAUAAUACAUUAGCAAGUAACACAUUCG
rnacentral:lncRNA from 1 species